AAAAUAAAGCAACCUGGUUACAACCUCAGAGACACGUAAAAUGGGAAAUAAUAAUAUAAAUUAAUUUCAACCGUUAGUUAUAAGGUCAUCCUCCUAGCUUUCACAUCAAGUCUUUGGUCAAGUACAGUAUACCCCCCAGAAAUAGCUCUGUAAAAUACCUAAUUCUCUUGCUUUGUCUCAAACAACAUCAAGUAUUAAUAGGCUUUUAUCUUUGAGUUUUACUUUAAAAUUCUUAACCGAUUUUUUUAUAAUAAUGGGGAAUUUUCAAAAGUUGCCCAACUUUUCACUGUCUUUUUCUUUCAUUCUGGUGAGGCAGGCAGACUGGCUACUUGACCUCCAAGUUCCUUUCCCCAUAUUCGUUUCCAGGCUUCGAGUCCAUUAGCUCAGUCAAAGCACACUUAGAGAAAAGACUUUCCUUGCCUUACCUUCUUCAUUUUCCUUCACUCCCCGUUGCCCAGCACCACAGCACCUCCAAAAUCAAGAGCCAGGAGUUCCCACUCCACAGACAGUUUUAGGUAUGGAGUUUUUAAAAAACUCUUGUGUACCCUGGGGGAGGGGCAGGUCAGUUACUGUUGAAUGUGUACAGAACUCAUGUUUGGGAUGAUGAAAAGUUUCUGGAAAUGGUGGUGACGGCCACACAACACUGAUGUAGUAAAUGCCGCUGAAUUAUACACUUUAACAUGAUUAAAAUGGUAAGCCUUCUGUAUAUUUUGUCACAAUUAAAAAAAAAAAAAAUCCUGUUCAUACUGCCUGUCUUGUGUGUUUGUAUACAUCCCUAAAUACAGAUGCAUCACUCCAUGGCUAGCAGCAACUCAGAAGGAUGAAGAAGUCAGUGAAAUAUAAAGUGUAAAGCAAUUUCAUUCCUUAAAAAAACUACAAGAUAGAACAAAGCACACACAUCCUUUGCCAGCUGCCUUUGGAAACCGGCUCUGUUUGCUCAUGCGCAGAAAAAAGCCAAGCCCCGGGAUGGUAUUGACAAGAACAAGAUGAAUGACCCCCUGGAGACCAUAGGAAACUGGAUAUUAAUUUUGGUGCUGCAGCCUUAGCUACACACAUACAUCUGUACCCAGAAGCAGACACUGUUUUCUGGAAGGUCGCCAUCCGAGCACGUCCGUGUCCGUGACCUCCGCUCAGCCAAGGCAGCACCUGAGCCCUGACCUCCUUGGUGAGCACCUGGAGGGCCCGAAGGACUCCAGAAGACCUGCAGCUCCGUUGUACGCGGGUCCUGGGGAGGCCGGCAGUGGGCGUCUCGUCCUGCCUGACGACCAAGCAGGGAUGUCCUCGGCUUCCCGAACUCUGCGGAUCACCUCUGAAACGCCCAUACUCUAUGUGUGUGCUGCGUCUUGCUGCUGUAACGCGUUGUCGCCGACUUAGCAACUCAACACAGAUUCAGGCGCCAGUAGUUCUGGAGCUCGGAACGCCGGCGUGGGUCCUAAAGUCAAGAAAUAUCUGGCGAGCGUCUGCUGGACCUCCCCUCCGCGCUCCAGGGCAGAUGGAGAAGCUGGACCUUCACUUGUUCCUUCCCACGGGCACAUAUCCAGCCGUCCAGCCGUGCAGCCGUCCAGCCAGCCUCCCAGACUCCCAGCCUCCUGGGAUGUUUUGAUGUGACAUGUGUAACACACGCUGCGACCCAGGCAUUCGGACCGGAUGGCCAAAGGCACUUGAGCUGAUUCACGGUCGGCUGUCCUUCACCUUGGGGCCCUGACAAUGGGAAGCUGGGCUGGAUCCCGGGACUUCUGAGGGUGUGGAGGAAUGACGGGAGGUGGGGGGCACUCAGGGGUCCCCCCGCCAGCCUGCAGGACCAGUCCGCUCUGCUGAGCCAGCUAAGACUUUGUAACCUGCCAAGACCCCUGCCCACCAGCCCCACAGUGGAGGUGCUGCCCAGUGUGCUGCUGCCCACGUGCACACUGCAGGACAAGUCCCAGGGGACAUACAGAAAGCACCAGGAGGCCGCUUGAAAUUAAUUCUCAAGGAGAGAGCCUCCCUGUGCUUUUUGAGGGAGAGGUGGCCCUGGCUUGCUGCUGAGGGCAGUGACCUACACCCGCGUUAGCAAUGGACACCUCGGAGAGGGAACUUGGCUGCAUAGGACCCCCGUCAAUGGUCAAGGACCGGGAAGAGAAGAGAUGGUUUCUUUUUAGAAAGAACCUCCAGUGAAGCAGUGAAAUCACACACACACACACACACACACACACCUGCAAAACACAUCUGAGCUGGGGCAACCAUGGGGAAGUGUCCCGCUAGGAAUGUGUUAUCUUCCUUUAAGAAGCAACCAGCUCCCCCAUAGCCGGACUCUGCUUUCCAGCCCAGGCCACGCUCUUCCUGAGCUGCCCCAUCAGUGACUGAACUUGGAGUGGAAACUUACGUUUUGGGGGCGUGGGCAUUGCUACCUGUCCCAGUCCUCUAAUAGGGAGUCAUUGUUCCGGAGCUGGCGGAGACUCUGCCCGAUUUGCCCCACGGGCCGGGGCUCCCCUUGCUCAACCCUGGUUCCUCCCCUUUCACCUUUUAAAUCUCUUGCUCUUUCUCUGUGUCUGUGACCGCUUCCCAGAGGGCCUGCCUAGUGCAGGAGCACAAACAGGAAGACGUUUGGAAAUCGCAGUGGACCAAAGUCCUUUCUCAGCCCCGACUGCACCGCAGGCCGGAAUCAGCGACCUGUAACGGAUUGGUUGAGUCAGCGGCAGGUGCUAGAAAGGAGCCUGACCACAUGUGUGUCGCUUAUUGGUCAUACUGGGCUGGGGUCUUUGGCUUCCUGUCUUCACGGUGUCCGCCAGCGUGGCUCCUCCAUUAAGUUCCCUCGGCCCUGCAGUAGUGAGCCUCCAGCUGCUUCGUGCCGGGAGUGCCGGGACCGGCGGACUCACUCGGACCCGGGGACACCAGGCUCCUGGCUCGAGCCUCGGUGUCAGCAAACCCAGCAGAUGCCUCCAGAAAGGAUCUCAAGGCCUCAAUCUCCGGCCUUCCUCCGUCCUUCACGGAUGUGUCCAACCCCAUCAACAGUGAGUCUUCUGUGAGUGUAAGAUUUUUAAUCCCACCCCAGCAGGAGCCCAUCUUCCCUCCGACCUCCUGCCGAUGUUAAUUUGGAAUGGGGCUGGGGAGCAGAUACGGACAGGAAGGGGUUCCAGGGAGGCUGAGGAUGGAAAUGCAGACUGGGAUGAUGGAGGAGGAGGCCGAAGACAAGACUUUGCCUAUGUUAAGGGUUCAGCUGUGUAACCCCCCCAAAGAUACAUGAAGUCCUACCCCCCAGGGCCUGUGAACAUGACCUUAUUUGGGGGUACGGAUUUUGCAGUUGUGAUCAAGAUCUGAUGACAUCAUCAGGGUGGGCCCUACUCCGCUUUGAUGGGACGAGAAGAAGGCUCCAUGGAGCGGGGGCAGGGUGGGGGAGGCAGAGCCCUCGGAGAUGCUGCCACCGGGAAGUGAAUGGGCUCUCGGGGACGAGCACCGCGGGCGGCGGGGGACCGGCAAGCGGCAGUGGGAGGAGGAGAAGAGUGCCCCGGGCCUGUAGAUCCGCAGGGGCAAGCGUUCUGGAAGAGGACGGAGGUCCGGAAUGAAAGGCGGGCUCCGGCUCAUGUUCCCAGAAGGCAAGGCGGGAAGAGAAAGCUGGCCUGCCGGCCGGCCGGGCUCCCCAGGACUGCAAGGACAGCGUCGUGGGACGAGCAGCACCUGCGGGAGACCCCGGGGUCCCUCGUCGCCUCCGGGAGCCGCGCGGAGAGACGGACGGAGCCACCUGUCCCGAGUGUGGUGUCUGGCUUCGGGAGAACUGAAGAAAGGUUUCUUUGCUAAGACUCACCUCCUUCGUUAGAAUUGCCCAGAAGGGCAGCAGCAGCGGCAGCGCUUCCGGAGAUCAAAGGGUCUGUAUCCCCCAGUGACAGUAUGAGCGGUUUAGGAAUCCCUUGUCACCCCGGAGACAUGGCAGCCGGGGCCAUGGUUCUCACAACCUGCGGCUGCUGAGCGCUGCCAGUGAGAGCCUGGCUGGCGGCGGGCACGGGCAGGGCACCGGGGGGCAUGGGGCAGAGAGUG